rnacentral:rRNA from 1 species
ACGGAAGGCAGCAGUGAGGAAUAUUGGUCAAUGGGCGGAAGCCUGAACCAGCCAAGUCGCGUGAAGGAUGAAGGUAUUAUGUAUUGUAAACUUCUUUAGACGUAGAGAAAUAAGGGGCUCGUGAGCCCUGAUGCUAGUAUACGUAGAAUAAGGAUCGGCUAACUCCGUGCCAGCAGCCGCGGUAAUACGGAGGAUCCGAGCGUUAUCCGGAUUUAUUGGGUUUAAAGGGUGCGCAGGCGGUCUUUUAAGUCAGUGGUUAAAUAGCGGUGCUCAACGCCGUCCCGCCAUUGAUACUGGAGAGCUUGAUUGCGGUCGAGGUUUGCGGAAUUCGUCGUGUAGCGGUGAAAUGCAUAGAUAUGACGAAGAACACCGAUUGCGUAGGCAGCAGACCAGGCCGUAAAUGACGCUCAUGCACGAAAGUGCGAGGAUCGAACAGGAUUAGAUACCCUGGUA